rnacentral:rRNA from 1 species
AGUGAACGCUGGCGGUAGGCCUAACACAUGCGAGUCGAACGGCAGCACAGUAAGAGCUUGCUCUUACGGGUGGCGAGUGGCGGACGGGUGAGGAAUACAUCGGAAUCUACUUUUUCGUGGGGGAUAACGUAGGGAAACUUACGCUAAUACCGCAUACGACCUACGGGUGAAAGCAGGGGAUCUUCGGACCUUGCGCGAUUGAAUGAGCCGAUGUCGGAUUAGCUAGUUGGCGGGGUAAAGGCCCACCAAGGCGACGAUCCGUAGCUGGUCUGAGAGGAUGAUCAGCCACACUGGAACUGAGACACGGUCCAGACUCCUACGGGAGGCAGCAGUGGGAAAUAUUGGACAAUGGGCGCAAGCCUGAUCCAGCCAUACCGCGUGGGUGAAGAAGGCCUUCGGGUUGUAAAGCCCUUUUGUUGGGAAAGAAAAGCAGCAGGUUAAUACCCCGCUGUUCUGACGGUACCCAAAGAAUAAGCACCGGCUAACCUCGU